rnacentral:rRNA from 1 species
AUUGAACGCUGGCGGCAGGCCUAACACAUGCAAGUCGAACGAGUGGCGGACGGGUGAGUAAUGUCUGGGAAACUGCCUGAUGGAGGGGGAUAACUACUGGAAACGGUAGCUAAUACCGCAUACCAUCGGAUGUGCCCAGAUGGGAUUAGCUAGUAGGUGGGGUAAAGGCUCACCUAGGCGACGAUCCCUAGCUGGUCUGAGAGGAGGACCAGCCACCAUGGAAUUGGGACACGCUCCAGACUCCUACGGGAGGAAGCAGUGGGGAAUUUUGCACAAUGGGGGAAAGCUUGAUGCAGCCAUGCCGCGUGUAGGAAGAGGGCUUUCGGGUUGUAAAGUCCUUUCAGCGGGGAGGCGUUACCCGCCGAAGAAGCACCGGUUAACUCCGUGCCAGCAGCCGCGGUAUUC